CAGGCUUAACACAUGCAAGUCGAGGGGUAUGCCGAUUUAUCGGCAGAGACCGGCGCACGGGUGCGUAACGCGUAUGCAAUCUACCUUUCACAGAGGGAUAGCCCAGAGAAAUUUGGAUUAAUACCUCAUAGUAUAGCAAUUUCGCAUGAAACCACUAUUAAAGUUCCAACGGUGAAAGAUGAGCAUGCGUCCCAUUAGCUAGAUGGUAAGGUAACGGCUUACCAUGGCUACGAUGGGUAGGGGUCCUGAGAGGGAGAUCCCCCACACUGGUACUGAGACACGGACCAGACUCCUACGGGAGGCAGCAGUGAGGAAUAUUGGUCAAUGGACGCAAGUCUGAACCAGCCAUGCCGCGUGCAGGAUGACGGUCCUAUGGAUUGUAAACUGCUUUUAUACAGGAAGAAACACUCCGACGUGUCGGAGCUUGACGGUACUGUAAGAAUAAGGAUCGGCUAACUCCGUG
rnacentral:rRNA from 1 species